rnacentral:rRNA from 1 species
UACGUAGGGACCAAGCGUUGUUCGGAUUUACUGGCGUAAAGGGCGCGUAGGCGGCGUGUUAAGUCAGCUGUGAAAUCUCCAGCUUAACUGGAACGGUCAGCUGAUACUGAUGUGCUAGAGUGCAUGAAGGGCAAGUCGGAAUUCUUGGAUGUAGCGGUGAAAUGCGUAGAUAUCAAGAGGAACACCUGGAGGUGAAGACGG